rnacentral:lncRNA from 1 species
GACUCAACGGAGAUAUCUCUUGCACAAAUUGACAAAGAUAGAGGAUCGUCCUCCUCCCCAUCUCCACUAUCUCUCCUGUCCUCAUCUUCACCACUAUAACUUUCACUUUCUUCUUCGCUUUCCCUUUCUUUUUUCCUUUCACUAUCCUCAACAUCCUCACUCUCAUGUGCACUACUUUCGUCAUAUUCGAAAAUAUCGGCAAGGAUUUUUUAUUCAGCUUUUGACUUGAAUUCAUCUACUACAGCUUUUUUCCUCUUCAAAGUUUUGGAAACUUCUUCGGCUUUCCGCUUCCUACUGCUAGAAGUAGUGGAAGCAGACCUUUUAACUUCUCUAUGAACUCUCACCAUUUAUGAUCUACAACCAAAAAUGAAUCUAUAGUGGUCGAUUUAUCGACCACUAGACUAUUAAUAAAAAUGAAAAAAUGCAGCAAAAACAAAUUUGAUGUGGUCGAUUUAUCGACCACUGGUCUAUUAAGAAAAACGAGAAAUCGCGUCGGAUCAAACAUGCACAUCAAGUUUCAACUUCUCCAGAUAUUGACAGUGCAAUUCACAACAGCAAGAACACCAUUCAAAUGGUCCAAUUCAGUACAACAAAUUCAAAAUUAAUACGCAAUGUAAAUACAC